AGAGUUUGAUCAUGGCUCAGAUUGAACGCUGGCGGCAUGCCUUACACAUGCAAGUCGAACGGCAGCAUGAUCUAGCUUGCUAGAUUGAUGGCGAGUGGCGAACGGGUGAGUAAUACAUCGGAACGUGCCCUGUAGUGGGGGAUAACUAGUCGAAAGAUUAGCUAAUACCGCAUACGACCUGAGGGUGAAAGUGGGGGACCGCAAGGCCUCAUGCUAUAGGAGCGGCCGAUGUCUGAUUAGCUAGUUGGUGAGGUAAAGGCUCACCAAGGCGACGAUCCAGUAGCUGGUCUGAGAGGACGAUCAGCCACACUGGGACUGAGACACGGCCCAGACUCCUACGGGAGGCAGCAGUGGGGAAUUUUGGACAAUGGGCGAAAGCCUGAUCCAGCAAUGCCGCGUGUGUGAAGAAGGCCUUCGGGUUGUAAAGCACUUUUGUCCGGAAAGAAAUGGCUCUGGUUAAUACCUGGGGUCGAUGACGGUACCGGAAGAAUAAGGACCGGCUAACUACGUGCCAGCAGCCGCGGUAAUACGUAGGGUCCAAGCGUUAAUCGGAAUUACUGGGCGUAAAGCGUGCGCAGGCGGUUGUGCAAGACCGAUGUGAAAUCCCCGAGCUUAACUUGGGAAUUGCAUUGGUGACUGCACGGCUAGAGUGUGUCAGAGGGGGGUAGAAUUCCACGUGUAGCAGUGAAAUGCGUAGAGAUGUGGAGGAAUACCGAUGGCGAAGGCAGCCCCCUGGGAUAACACUGACGCUCAUGCACGAAAGCGUGGGGAGCAAACAGGAUUAGAUACCCUGGUAGUCCACGCCCUAAACGAUGUCAACUAGUUGUUGGGGAUUCAUUUCCUUAGUAACGUAGCUAACGCGUGAAGUUGACCGCCUGGGGAGUACGGUCGCAAGAUUAAAACUCAAAUGAAUUGACGG
rnacentral:rRNA from 1 species